UACGGAGGGUGCAAGCGUUGUCCGGAUUUAUUGGGUUUAAAGGGUGCGUAGGUGGCUCUAUAAGUCAGUGGUGAAAGCCUGCAGCUUAACUGUAGGACUGCCAUUGAUACUGUAGAGCUUGAGUACUGAUGAGGUAGGCGGAAUUGAUAGUGUAGCGGUGAAAUGCAUAGAUAUUAUCAAGAACACCGAUUGCGAAGGCAGCUUACUAAGGAGUUACUGACACUGAGGCACGAAGGCCAGGGGAGCAAACGGG
rnacentral:rRNA from 1 species